GGUUGUGGCUCAGUGGUACAGCACUUGCCUAGCAUGUGAGAGGCACUGGGUUCGAUUCUCAGCACCA
rnacentral:tRNA from 1 species